CCUACGGGAGGCUGCAGUAGGGAAUCUUCCACAAUGGACGAAAGUCUGAUGGAGCAACGCCGCGUGAGCGAAGAAGGUUUUCGGAUCGUAAAGCUCUGUUGUGAGGGAAGAACAAGUACGGGAGUAACUGUCCGUACCUUGACGGUACCUCAUUAGAAAGCCACGGCUAACUACGUGCCAGCAGCCGCGGUAAUACGUAGGUGGCAAGCGUUGUCCGGAAUUAUUGGGCGUAAAGCGCGCGCAGGCGGUCCUUUAAGUCUGAUGUGAAAGCCCACGGCUCAACCGUGGAGGGUCAUUGGAAACUGGGGGACUUGAGUACAGAAGAGGAAAGUGGAAUUCCACGUGUAGCGGUGAAAUGCGUAGAGAUGUGGAGGAACACCAGUGGCGAAGGCGACUUUCUGGUCUGUAACUGACGCUGAGGCGCGAAAGCGUGGGGAGCAAACAGGAUUAGAUACCCCUGUAGUC
rnacentral:rRNA from 1 species